rnacentral:rRNA from 1 species
AGUGAACGCUGGCGGUAGGCCUAACACAUGCAAGUCGAACGGCAGCACAGUAAGAGCUUGCUCUUACGGGUGGCGAGUGGCGGACGGGUGAGGAAUACAUCGGAAUCUACUUUUUCGUGGGGGAUAACGUAGGGAAACUUACGCUAAUACCGCAUACGACCUACGGGUGAAAGCAGGGGAUCUUCGGACCUUGCGCGAUUGAAUGAGCCGAUGUCGGAUUAGCUAGUUGGCGGGGUAAAGGCCCACCAAGGCGACGAUCCGUAGCUGGUCUGAGAGGGUGAUCAGCCACACUGGAACGGAGACACGGUCCAGACUCCUACGGGAGGCAGCAGUGGGGAAUAUUGGACAAUGGGCGCAAGCCUGAUCCAGCCAUACCGCGUGGGUGAAGAAGGCCUUCGGGUUGUAAAGCCCUUUUGUUGGGAAAGAAAAGCAGCAGGUUAAUACCCCGCUGUUCUGACGGUACCCAAAGAAUAAGCACCGGCUAACUUCGUG